GUGCCCUGGCCAGGAACGGUUCUAGGGCGUUACAACAUGUCAAUAUUUGUAUCUGGGUUGUUGUGACAUUUGGUAAAAAUUGCAGGAGGUCCUCCGGCGCGCUAUACAUGGUGGCAUCCUGUGAAAUGACCUGGUAAUACCACAAGAAAACUGCUGUGUGUCCAAUAUUUGCGUUAGUCGUUCGCGUUUGAUCUCCACGGUGUGAGCCGGCGGGUCUUACUCAAGAUCGCAAUGGAUUGCGCGGAGAGCUCAGUCGGGAGCUGGCUAGGCUUCUUCACGGGUGCUGGUCUGCCUACCCGUGUGGCAGCAGACUAUGCAGUCACCUUCAGCGACAACAGGAUGAGGCUGGACAUGCUGCCUGACCUGAGCAAAGAUUACCUCAGGGAUAUGAAUAUCACAGUAAUGGGCGAUGUUAUUGCCAUACUCAAACAUGCCAAAGCUGUCAGCCAACAGGAGUACACGGCUCGGAAGAUCGGCGUAGGCGCGGCGGCGACCCAGCGGACUUCCGGUCGGCCGGAGGCGGCGGCACCACCGCCGGCGCCCCGUGCCGCCGUCCGGCCGCUGCCGGCCGAGCCAGCCGCCCGG
rnacentral:lncRNA from 1 species